rnacentral:rRNA from 1 species
AAAGGAAUAGACGGGGGCCCGCACAAGCAGCGGAGCAUGUUGCUUAAUUCGAGGCAACGCGAAGAACCUUACCUGGGUUUGACAUGUAGAGAAAAGCCACAGAGAUGUGGUGUCCUUCGGGGUUCUACACAGGUGGUGCAUGGUUGUCGUCAGCUCGUGUCGUGAGAUGUUGGGUUAAGUCCCGCAACGAGCGCAACCCUUGUCCUAUGUUGCCAGCACGUAAUGGUGGGGACUCGUAGGAGACUGCCGGGGUCAACUCGGAGGAAGGUGGGGAUGACGUCAAAUCAUCAUGCCCCUUAUAUCCAGGGCUGCAAACAUGCUACAAUGGCCGGUACAAAGGGCUGCUAAACCGCGAGGUGGAGCGAAUCCCAUAAAGCCGGUCUCAGUUCGGAUUGGAGUCUGCAACUCGACUCCAUGAAGCUGGAGUUGCUAGUAAUCCCGGAUCAGCAACGCCGGGGUGAAUACGUUCCCGGGCCUUGUACACACCGCCCGU